rnacentral:rRNA from 1 species
ACCGGCGGCCCGAGUGGUGAUCGUGAUUAUUGGGUCUAAAGGGUCCGUAGCCGGUUUGGUCAGUCCUCCGGGAAAUCUGAUAGCUCAACUAUUAGGCUUUCGGGGGAUACUGCCAGACUUGGAACCGGGAGAGGUAAGAGGUACUACAGGGGUAGGAGUGAAAUCUUGUAAUCCCUGUGGGACCACCUGUGGCGAAGGCGUCUUACCAGAACGGGUUCGACGGUGAGGGACGAAAGCUGGGGGCACGAACCGGAUUAGAUACCCGGGUAGUCCCAGCCGUAAACGAUGCUCGCUAGGUGUCAGGCAUGGCGCGACCGUGUCUGGUGCCGCAGGGAAGCCGUGAAGCGAGCCACCUGGGAAGUACGGCCGCAAGGCUGAAACUUAAAGGAAUUGGCGGGGGAGCACAACAACGGGUGGAGCCCUGCGGUUUAAUUGGACUCAACGCCGGACAACUCACCGGGGGCGACAGCAAUAUGUAGGCCAAGCUGAAGACUUUGCCUGAAUCGCUGAGAAGAGGUGCAUGG